rnacentral:rRNA from 1 species
GACGAACGCUGGCGGCGUGCCUAAUACAUGCAAGUAGAACGCUGAAGGAGGAGCUUGCUUCUCUGGAUGAGUUGCGAACGGGUGAGUAACGCGUAGGUAACCUGCCUGGUAGCGGGGGAUAACUAUUGGAAACGAUAGCUAAUACCGCAUAACAGUAGAUAUCGCAUGAUAGCUGCUUGAAAGGUGCAAUUGCACCACUACCAGAUGGACCUGCGUUGUAUUAGCUAGUUGGUGAGGUAACGGCUCACCAAGGCGACGAUACAUAGCCGACCUGAGAGGAUGAUCCGCCACACUGGGACUGAGACACGGCCCAGACUCCUACGGGAGGCAGCAGUGGGGAAUUUUGGACAAUGGGCGCAAGCCUGAUCCAGCCAUGCCGCGUGUCUGAAGAAGGCCUUCGGGUUGUAAAGGACUUUUGUCAGGGAAGAAAAGGCUGUCGCUAAUACCGACAGUUGAUGACGGUACCUGAAGAAUAAGCACCGGCUAACUACGUGCCAGCAGCCGCGGUAAUACGUAGGGUGCGAGCGUUAAUCGGAAUUACUGGGCGUAAAGCGAGCGCAGACGGUUACUUAAGCAGGAUGUGAAAUCCCCGGGCUCAACCUGGGAACUGCGUUCUGAACUGGGUGACUAGAGUGUGUCAGAGGGAGGUAGAAUUCCACGUGUAGCAGUGAAAUGCGUAGAGAUGUGGAGGAAUACCGAUGGCGAAGGCAGCCUCCUGGGAUAACACUGACGUUCAUGCUCGAAAGCGUGGGUAGCAAACAGG